CCUACUGGUGGCAGCAGUGGGGAAUAUUGGGCAAUGGACGCAAGUCUGACCCAGCAACGCCGCGUGAAGGAAGAAGGCUUUCGGGUUGUAAACCUCUUUUAAGGGGGAAGAGCAGAAGACGGUACCCCUUGAAUAAGCCACGGCUAACUACGUGCCAGCAGCCGCGGUAAUACGUAGGUGGCAAGCGGUGUCCGGAUUUACUGGGUGUAAAGGGCGUGCAGGCGGAGAGACAAGUCAGAUGUGAAAGCCACGGGCUCAACCCGUGAACUGCAUUUGAAACUGUUUCUCUAGAGUGUCGGAGAGGUAAGCGGAAUUCCUAGUGUAGCGGUGAAAUGCGUAGAUAUUAGGAAGAACACCAGUGGCGAAGGCGGAUUACUGGACGGUAACUGACGGUGAGGCGCGAAAGCGUGGGGAGCAAACAGGAUUAGAUACCCGGAUAGUC
rnacentral:rRNA from 1 species